rnacentral:rRNA from 1 species
AGAAUCAACGCUGGCGGCGUGCCUAACACAUGCAAGUCGAACGAGAAAGUGGAGCAAUCCACGAGUAAAGUGGCGCACGGGUGAGUAACACGUGACUAACCUACCCUUGAGUGGGGGAUAACCUAGGGAAACCUGGGCUAAUACCGCAUAAUACCUACGGGUCAAAGGAGCAAUUCGCUUUAGGAGGGGGUCGCGGCAGAUUAGUUAGUUGGCGGGGUAAUGGCCCACCAAGACAGUGAUCUGUA